rnacentral:rRNA from 1 species
GGACUACCAGGGUAUCUAAUCCUGUUUGAUCCCCACGCUUUCGCGCCUCAGCGUCAGUUACCGUCCAGAUGCCCGCCUUCGCCACCGGUGUUCCUCCUGAUAUCUACGAAUUUCACCUCUACACCAGGAAUUCCGGCAUCCUCUCCGGCACUCCAGCCCCGUAGUUUCGGACGCAAUUCCACCUUUAAGAGGUGGGAUUUCACGCCCGACAUACAGGGCCGCCUACGCGCCCUUUACGCCCAAUAAUUCCGAACAACGCUAGCACCCUCUGUAUUACCGCGGCUGCUGGCAC